rnacentral:lncRNA from 1 species
GAAGAGUUAGUUUUGGGUUGGUUUAUCCCAUUUUAAUCUUGUUGUCCAUUUUUUUUAGUUUUUGGCCCAAUUUUAAGGCCCAAUAGUACCAAACUCAUACCCCUUUAACCUAAAAACUCUUUCUAUAUAACCAAAAAAGAAGCCUAAUUUCCUAGACCCUAGGGACCUAAGAGAUAAAAAACAACCUAAGAGACUAAAUCCGUCGCAGUACAAGGAAACCCCCCACCCCCUGACCUCGUCUUCUUCAUAGACCCCACCCCAAAGGACCCUCUGUUCAUGACACAAAAAUCCGCCGCUUGACACCCAAAUAGCCCCUCGUUCUUCAUCUUCUUCAACACUAGCAGAGAACCAGUGAACUCGAAACCGCCUUAGACCUCCACCAAAUCGUCGGAUCUCCACUCCAAGAACCCCAUCUCCCAGCGAAAAACACCCAAACUCAAAAAGCUCAGCUCACCAUCUUCGCCGAAAACCAGCGAUCACCCGGCUCGAUCUCUGGAACAGCCGCUAGGGAUGGCCUCUUCUUCAUCUUUGCACCCCAACCCUCUCAUCUUACUACCCAAAGACACACACGAAAACGCACAGAGGCAGAUGAAAAAUAAAUAAAAAAUAAGGUUUGAAAGUAGUCGAGUUUUGUUACAGUUGUUGGAGUCGAUAAUAUCUUUCGAAAAAACGGUUCAAUAAAGAAAAGUUUUUGUCGCGUUCCGAUCCAGCUUGAGUUCAGUCGAGUUCGAUUGCUGCCCAUGUCGAGGUUGCCGUGCAAGAAGCCGGUCUGAGAUUUUUCAUCCUCUUGGAUUUUUGGUGUUUAACAAUAUCAAUUGAGGUCCUCUCUAACCUUUCAAUGUUACUACUUUUAUGAAGACAUAUUUUCCCUUUUUCGUAAUAUUCUCUUGGAUUUGUGCGAAAUUGUCUUCUGCUAGUGUUCCUCUGAUUUUAUGUGAAUUGUGGUUGGAUUACUGGGUUCCUUUCUGAUUUUGGCAAUUGCUUCCAUGUGCUCCAAGUUGAAAUCAACAACUCAUACUUUGGUUAGUCUUAACUGUUCUCAUUAGGCAUAUCAAUUUGUCUAGAGCUUGCAAUAUUUGUGUUGGUAAUUAUAAAUCGUGAAUUGGGUCUCACUUGAAAGUAAAAGUUAUGGAGUUUGAGUUGUUAAAGGUCUAUAAGGUUUGGCAUUGAGAAUGGUAUUAAAAAUGGGUCGUAUGAGUUAAUACAAGGUUUAUUGAGCAUUGGGGUCUGCGCUUUUAUUGAUACAGGAUAAUGAGAUUUAGCUAUGACAUCCUUUUUUCAUUUGCUUCAUUCUUUUCAGUUGAUUAUUUGGAAUUUUAAUUUAUUUUGUUUCAAUUGUUCUCACCCGUAUGUUUCUCUUAGUUAGUAUUUGGGUUAAUUGAACAAAUAAAAUUUAGUCUCCAAUAUCCAUGUCCAAAGAAGUUGUUCUGCCGGACCCAAUUUUUAAGAGCCAAACUGGUCGUUUUUCAUUAAAUGCAAAGCUGGCCGAAAAAUGAUAAUAAGGCUACAAGUCAGCCCGUAAUUUCUUCUACAACAAAUUCCAUAACCCAUGGCCUUCACAAUAAUCUCAAAGUUUAGGAAGAAUAAUUAUAUUCGUAGUUUGCUUUAGGCACGUUUAAUAUACUAUCGUGGUUGUGUACACGUUCGCGUGACAAGAUUACGAUCUUAAAAAUAAAAUUGGGGUAUGCGUUCAACUUCGACCAAAUAUUUCUUAAUAAUAAUAAAGCGUUAUUAUUGUGGACACGUUCGCGUGACAUGAUUUUUGACGCGCCAAACAAAUAAGUACACGUACGUGUGACUCGUUUUUCUAGAUAACUCCCUAUUUAGGAAUAAUUAAGCAAAUAAAAGCGGUAAGAGGUAAAUGCACAUAGGUUUAAAAAUAAGUAAUUAGACAAUUUAAUUAAGCCAAGUAUGAUCAAAGCGACCGUGCUAGAACCACGGAACUCGGGAAUGCCUAACACCUUCUCUCGGGUUAACAGAAUUACUUACCCAGAUUUCUAUGUUCGCAGACCAUAAAUAAGAGUCAACUUCCUUGAUUCAGGAUUAAAAUCGAUGACUUGGGACACCAUAAAUUAUCCCAAGUGGCUACUCUGAAUUUAAAAUAAAUAAUCCCGUUUCGAUUGUCAUUUAAAUUGGCAAAAACUCCCUUAUACCUCCUUCCGGGGGUAGUAAAGAGUAGGUGUAACAUCAAGUACAUCAUAAGGGUCACGGAAAAGAAACCAAGAAGCACGAUAACCUCAAUAAAAUAACAAGACAUAAUAAGCACGUGAUAGUACACCAGUAACCUCAACAAUUGGACAUGUAACAUAUUUUCACGAAGUCAUAGAAGAACUCACAAUCAAGAAGUAUCCAAAAUAAUAAGGGAGGCAAUCACUUCAAUUAAGGCAAUUAAGGGUCACGAUAACACGUAGGAAUUAGAGGAAAGUUAACAACAUCAUAUGAAGCAUAUAGAGGCAAUUCAAGCAAUUAUUAAACUCAAUCAUAACAGGAUACUUUCCACAUAAUAGACAUAAGGACCUAAGAACCCUAGAGGCAAAUUUCCCACAAAUAAAUCCGAGCACACACUCGUUACCUCGCGUGCACGGACUAUAAUUAGCAUAGAAGACUCAAAUCCUAAGGGGAAGUCCCCCACACAAGGUUAGGCAAUAUACUUACCUCAAUUCGGCCAAUUCAAUACUCAAUUUAGCUUUUCCUUUACCAAUUCAUCAACGCUCGGCUCAAUCUAGCCAUAAACGACUUGAAUACAUCAAAUAAUACAAGAGAAAACAAUUUCAAUUAACAAAACUAUGAUUCUUAUACAAUUUGCAAAAAGUCAAUAAAAGUCAACUACCUGGGCCCGCACUUCGGAACCCGACAAAAUUUACAAAAAUCGAACACCAUUUCGCUAUGAGUUCAGCCAUACAAAAAUUAUCUAAUUCUGAUACCAUUUGGUCAUUCAAAUCAUCAUUUUACAUUUUUGAAAGAUUUCACAAUUUUCCCCAAAUUAUUCCUUAGAUUCUCAUGAAUUUGAUGUUAAAUAUAAGAUAUAAUCACAAAAUAUAACCGAAAAUUGAUUAGAAACACUUACCCAAUGAUUUGGAGAAGUUUGGUCUUUGGAAAAUCGCCCAUGGAGGUUUAGGGUUUGAGAAAAUUGAAAAAUGGGUGAAAAUCUUGUCAAAAACCUCAUUUAACAGGCCUCAGAUGUCGCAUUUGCGACCCAGGGUUCGCAGUUGCAACCCCUCGCAAGUUCCGAACAAAGCAGGGCUGGCAGAAGUCACAUUUGCAAGAAAAAGUUCGCAUUUGCGAACUGGGCAUCGCAAAUGUGAUGAAAAAGUUCGCAUUUACGAACACACCAAAAACCAUCAAUUUUUUCUGACACGAAAAUGAGCAUAACUUCCUCAUACGAUGUCCAAAUUCGAUGAUUAUUUUUCCUAUGGCUCUGUAAUUUCGAUACGCAUCUAAUGGUUUAAACAAAACUGAAUUUAGAUCUCAUUUGCUCAAUGUAGUAUUAUUUUUUCUUGAAGAAACGACGAUGAGGCAUCCAAAAACAAGCAUAACAUAGCCUAAACCUAUUCGAAACUCACCCAAGCCCUCGAGGCUCCAAACCAAAUAUGCACGCAAGUCUAAAAAUAUUAUACAGACUUGUUCGUAUGAUCAAAUCAUCAAAUAACAUCAAAAACUAUGAAUUUAACCUCAAAACUAAUGAUUUUCUCAAGGACACUCAAAUUUUUUAAUUUUUCAACCGGACGUUCAAAUCACGUCAAAUCAAUUCUGGUUCUCACCAAAUUUUACCGAUAGGAAUUAACUAUUAUAACAAACUUGUACCGAAUUCCGAAACCAAAAUAUGGGCCUGAUACCAACGAGUUCAAAUAUUAAUUUAUUUUUUUAUUUCCUUUAAAAACCAGCACAACAAUUUUCUUCAAAAAUUAUUUUCUAAGGCUAGGGACCUCGGAAUUCAAUUCCGGGCAUACACCCAAGUCCCAUAUUUUACCGUGGACCUCCCGGGCUUGUCGGAACAUAGAUCCGGAUCCGUUUACCAAAAAUACUAAACAAAGUCAACUAAAACCAAAUUUUAACUCUAGAAAUUAUUAUAUUUUUCAUAUUUUCACAUAAAAACUUUCCAGUUUCACGCCCGAACUGCGCACGCAAGUCGAUACACACAAUAUGAAGCUGCUCGUGAUCUCAAACUGCCGAACCGGAUGCAAUUGCUCAAAAUGACCAGUUGGGUCAUUACAUCCUCCUCCACUUAAACAUACGUUCGUCCUCGAACGCGCCCGGAGUCAUUCCAAAGCCAUCGAACAACUGCAUGAGCUCCUCAUACAUACACCCGGGGGUGAUUCCCCAUCAUCUAACCUAUGCAGAACUGACAAUGCAACUUAACUAAAGGUCUCAUCUCCUCCUUAGUCCAUAGCCUUAGAACAGGACCCAAACCUCAACAUCCGAAAUUCAUCAUAGGACCCGAAUUCCACAUCAUCAGACUGAACACACCGAAACAGGCUGAAUCGAGCCAAAAAUUCCAAUCCAAAAUACAAUCACAUGUUGUUCCACACAACUCACAUACUCGAAGCAAUAACCUCUGACCACCAUAGCUGCUCAAAUAACAUCUUGGAUGUCGGCAAUAUACUUCACAUUGAAUACAACCUUGUUCUGGACUUCCACAACACUACAUGUUAUAAAGAGACAUGCGAAAAUUCAUAGCCUCCCAAAAAGUCAACAAGUCACGAAGCUCUCCCGCCCGCCAAGGUCCAUUACCCAAAUCUUAGUAGAAACACCCUCUCACUUCCAAACACUCCCCACCCCCAAUACCAUAGCACUAAACUCAGGUCUAAGAACCUCAUCUCAGCCAAUACAAGCAAUCCAACUAACAACUCAUCACGGAACCACAUAGAUUAUUACACUACACAAUUCGUACACCAAAUCAGCAAUAACUCAAUUAUGCAGUACAAAUAAAGGAAAAUAAAUUAGAAGAAUUAUCUAACAAGUUCAACAUGCGUGACAACAAAAGUAUAGGUUUUUCAUCAAAUCUUCCCACAGAGGGAAGACACAACACCAAAUAAACACAAGGAAAUGGUAUCCCACAUAACAUCCACUGCGGCGUGCAGCCCUGUAACGACCUGGUCAUUCGUUCUGAGAGUUAUAGCCCCAUUUACCCAUCUAUGCUUAUUUAUGUGUUGUUUAGCUGUGUUGAGUUGUAUCGAGUUGGUAGGCUUGAGUUUUAGAGAGUUUUAGGUAGGAAUUUGAGGGACCAAACAGAGUUCGAUUUUGAUAAAUUUUAUAUGGUUAGACUUGGGAGAGGACGAGGGUUUUGAUUCUGCCAUUGUUGAUUGGUUUCGAGAUGUGGGCCCAGGGGACGAGUUUUGGCUGAUUUCGGAUUUUUUGCCUAUUUUUGUAGUUUUUAUUGUGGAAUUUGAUUCUCUAGCCAUGUUAAUGGUAUUAAUCUGAUUAUGGUUAGAUUCGAGCUUUUGGAGACCGAGUCCAGAGACAAGGGCAUCCCGGAGUAGGAUUUUAUGCUGUUGAGGUAAGUAACAGUUUUAACUCUGGCUUUGAGGGUAUAAACCCGGAGAAUUUGAUAUCAUGUGAUUGUUUGGAGGUGAUACCCACACUAGGUGAUGGGCGUGUGGGUGUAUACCUCGAGGGAUUGAGACUUGGUCCGUCCCGUGAGGCUGCGAGGCCUAAUAGCUAUUAUCUGUGGUUAUGUGUUUACUUGUUGUUGAACUUGUUUGCCUUCAUGUUAGAGAUCAUGCUUAGGCUUUAUUCAUGCUCACAUUAUUUGUACUCAGUCAUAGAAAUUAUUGUACAUGUUUAGCUCAGUCUCUAUUAUUUGUUAAUAUGCUGUGAUACUUGAUGUGGGAUGUGUCCCCUUAUUUGUUGAUGAUGGUGAGGCUAGUGAGGUACAUGAUUGAGUAAGGCCGAGGGCCUGGUUGUGAGAAUAUUAAUACCAUAGCGCGUGAGUUAUCCAGGUAGCACGUGAGUUGACCGUGUAGGUCCAGGUAUUUAUACCAUAGCGCGUGAGUUGUCCGCGUAGCACGUGAGUUGACCGUGCGGAUCCAGGUAUUGAUAUGAUGGCCUGGUUGUGAGGAUAUUAAUAUCAUAGCGCGUGAGUUGUUCGCGUAGCACGUGAAUUGACUGUGCAGGUUCAGGUAUUUAUACCAUAGCGUGUGAGUUGUCCGCGUAGCACGUGAGUUGACCGUGUGGAUCCAGAUAUUGAUAUGGUAGCACGUGAGUUGUCCGUGCUUAGCGCUUGGGCUUUGGGAGCCCCUCCGGAGUCUGUACACACCCCCAGUGAGCGCAGAGUAUUGAGUGUUGAGUGCGAGUGCUGAGUGAUGGAGUGACAUUGCUAUGAAGUUGCAUUUACUUUUGUUGUUGCUGCAUUUAUCUGUUAAAUUUCUUUGUGGUAUUUACUGAGUUAUGGAAUUUACCUGUUUAUUCAUGUGUUAUUUUUUUAAAAUUGUGAAAAUAAAUAAUUGGACUGUUUUACUUAGCUCAUCACUACUGCUCAGUUCCUUAGUUAUUUCAUUUACUACUGAGGUGGUUGUACUCAUACUACACCCUGCACUUUAUGUACAGAUCCAGAUGAGUUAGAGCCCGGCGAUCGUUGAGUUCAGACCGACUAUCUGUGGAGAUUGCAAGGUAGCUGCUAGUGUCUGCAGGACCUUGUUACUCCUUUUAUCAUUUCUUAUUUUGGACAGUUAGAUAAUUUCUAUAUCUUAGUUCAUAGUUUUAGACGCUCAUGACUUAAUGACACCCCAAUGUUUGGGGCUCGUUUCCAUAUUUUAUAUUAAUUAUAUUUAGAGUUGAUUUAGUUUAUGAGAAAUUCAAAUGUUG